GAUGAAGAACGUAUCGAAAUGCGAUACUUGGUGUGAAUUGCAGAAUCCCGUGAACCAUCGAGUCUUUGAACGCAAGUUGCGCCCGAAGCCAUUAGGCCGAGGGCACGCCUGCCUGGGCGUCACACGUCGUUGCCCCCCCAUCUACUCCUUCGGGAUUGCGGGGGGCGGAUGAUGGCCUCCCGUGCGCCUCGUCGCGCGGUUGGCAUAAAUGCCAAGUCCUCGGCGACGCACGCCACGACAAUCGGUGGUUGCGAAACCUCGGUUGCCCGUCGUGUGCGGUCGUCGCGCAUCGAGGGCUCGAAAAAAUUGCCGGGCUCCGGCUCGGCUUUCAACGCGACCCCAGGUCAGGCGGGGUUACCCGCUGAAUUUAAGCAUAUCAAUAAGCGGAGGA
rnacentral:misc_RNA from 1 species